AAGGGCUUAUGACCAGACCUUUGCCUUGCGAAUCAUCCGGUGUUCUCACCGGUGCACUUCGCUUGGUUGAGGCCAGCAUCAGUUUCGGCAGCGGGAUAAAGACUUCAGGAAUGUGACUCCCCCGGGAGUGUUAUAGCCUGUCGUGUAAUACCGCUACUGGGACUGAGGACCGCGCUUCGGCUAGGAUGCUGGCAUAAUGGUCAUCAGC
rnacentral:rRNA from 1 species